CCCCACGACGCUGCUGCGACCUGGUGGCAGAGAGCAGAGGGUGGCACGUCGACCCUAGGCCCGCACCACCACCACCACCACCGUCACCACCACCACCACCACCACCACCACCACCGUCAUCUCCACCACAGGAGCCAACACCAUGGCGCAGUAGUGUCCGGUCUCCAACAUGCAACUUAGGAGCACCAUGAUUCUAGUGCUGGUGGUAUGGCUGCUAGUG